GAUAAACGCUGGCGGCGUGCCUAAUACAUGCAAGUCGAGCGAACGGACGAGAAGCUUGCUUCUCUGAUGUUAGCGGCGGACGGGUGAGUAACACGUGGAUAACCUACCUAUAAGACUGGGAUAACUUCGGGAAACCGGAGCUAAUACCGGAUAAUAUUUUGAACCGCAUGGUUCAAAAGUGAAAGACGGUCUUGCUGUCACUUAUAGAUGGAUCCGCGCUGCAUUAGCUAGUUGGUAAGGUAACGGCUUACCAAGGCAACGAUGCAUAGCCGACCUGAGAGGGUGAUCGGCCACACUGGAACUGAGACACGGUCCAGACUCCUACGGGAGGCAGCAGUAGGGAAUCUUCCGCAAUGGGCGAAAGCCUGACGGAGCAACGCCGCGUGAGUGAUGAAGGUCUUCGGAUCGUAAAACUCUGGUAUUAGGGAAGAACAUAUGUGUAAGUAACUGUGCACAUCUUGACGGUACCUAAUCAGAAAGCCACGGCUAACUACGUGCCAGCAGCCGCGGUAAUACGUAGGUGGCAAGCGUUAUCCGGAAUUAUUGGGCGUAAAGCGCGCGUAGGCGGUUUUUUAAGUCUGAUGUGAAAGCCCACGGCUCAACCGUGGAGGGUCAUUGGAAACUGGAAAACUUGAGUGCAGAAGAGGAAAGUGGAAUUCCAUGUGUAGCGGUGAAAUGCGCAGAGAUAUGGAGGAACACCAGUGGCGAAGGCGACUUUCUGGUCUGUAACUGACGCUGAUGUGCGAAAGCGUGGGGAUCAAACAGGAUUAGAUACCCUGGUAGUCCACGCCGUAAACGAUGAGUGCUAAGUGUUAGGGGGUUUCCGCCCCUUAGUGCUGCAGCUAACGCAUUAAGCACUCCGCCUGGGGAGUACGACCGCAAGGUUGAAACUCAAAGGAAUUGACGGGGACCCGCACAAGCGGUGGAGCAUGUGGUUUAAUUCGAAGCAACGCGAAGAACCUUACCAAAUCUUGACAUCCUUUGACAACUCUAGAGAUAGAGCCUUCCCCUUCGGGGGACAAAGUGACAGGUGGUGCAUGGUUGUCGUCAGCUCGUGUCGUGAGAUGUUGGGUUAAGUCCCGCAACGAGCGCAACCCUUAAGCUUAGUUGCCAUCAUUAAGUUGGGCACUCUAAGUUGACUGCCGGUGACAAACCGGAGGAAGGUGGGGAUGACGUCAAAUCAUCAUGCCCCUUAUGAUUUGGGCUACACACGUGCUACAAUGGACAAUACAAAGGGCAGCGAAACCGCGAGGUCAAGCAAAUCCCAUAAAGUUGUUCUCAGUUCGGAUUGUAGUCUGCAACUCGACUACAUGAAGCUGGAAUCGCUAGUAAUCGUAGAUCAGCAUGCUACGGUGAAUACGUUCCCGGGUCU
rnacentral:rRNA from 1 species